AGAGUUUGAUCAUGGCUCAGAACGAACGCUGGCGGCGUGGAUAAGACAUGCAAGUCGAACGGAAAUUGAGCAUAGCUUGCUAAGCUCAAUUUUAGUGGCGGACGGGUUAGUAACACGUGAGAUACCUACCCUUUAGACAGGAAUAGCCCAUGGAAACGUGGAUUAAUGCCUGAUAGUCUCUACGGAGUAAAGGAUGCCUUCGGGUGUCGCUGAAGGAUGGGCUCGCGGCCUAUCAGUUUGUUGGUGAGGUAAAAGCUCACCAAGACUACGACGGGUAGCUGGUCUGAGAGGACGAUCAGCAACACUGGAACUGAGACACGGUCCAGACACCUACGGGUGGCAGCAGUCGAGAAUCAUUCACAAUGGAGGAAACUCUGAUGGUGCAACGCCGCGUGGAGGAUGACGGCCCUAGGGUUGUAAACUCCUGUCAUUGGGGAGUAAGGCUUAUUCGUUAAUAGCGUGUAAGUUUGAUAGUACCCAAAGAGGAAGGGACGGCUAACUUCGUGCCAGCAGCCGCGGUAAUACGAAGGUCCCAAGCGUUGUUCGGAAUAACUGGGCGUAAAGCGUGUGUAGGCUGCGCGGAAAGUCAAAUGUGAAAGCCAGGGGCUCAACCUCUGAACUGCAUUCGAUACUCCCGUGCUAGAGUAAUGGAGAGGUAAGUGGAAUUCUCGGUGUAGCAGUGAAAUGCGUAGAUAUCGAGAGGAACAUCAAUGGCGAAGGCAACUUACUGGACAUUUACU
rnacentral:rRNA from 1 species